AGAGUUUGAUCCUGGCUCAGGACGAACGCUGGCGGCGUGCCUAACACAUGCAAGUCGAACGGAACUUCUUUAAAGGAUUUCUUCGGAAUGAAUUUGAUUAAGUUUAGUGGCGGACGGGUGAGUAACGCGUGAGUAACCUGCCUCUAAGAGGGGAAUAACAUUCUGAAAAGAAUGCUAAUACCGCAUAAUAUAUAUUUAUCGCAUGGUAGAUAUAUCAAAGAUUUAUCGCUUAGAGAUGGACUCGCGUCCGAUUAGUUAGUUGGUGAGGUAACGGCUCACCAAGACCGCGAUCGGUAGCCGGACUGAGAGGUUGAACGGCCACAUUGGGACUGAGACACGGCCCAGACUCCUACGGGAGGCAGCAGUGGGGGAUAUUGCGCAAUGGGGGAAACCCUGACGCAGCAACGCCGCGUGAAGGAUGAAGGUCUUCGGAUUGUAAACUUCUUUUAUUAAGGACGAAGAAAGUGACGGUACUUAAUGAAUAAGCUCCGGCUAACUACGUGCCAGCAGCCGCGGUAAUACGUAGGGAGCAAGCGUUGUCCGGAUUUACUGGGUGUAAAGGGUGCGUAGGCGGCUUUGCAAGUCAGAUGUGAAAUCUAUGGGCUCAACCCAUAGCCUGCAUUUGAAACUGCAGAGCUUGAGUGAAGUAGAGGCAGGCGGAAUUCCCCGUGUAGCGGUGAAAUGCGUAGAGAUGGGGAGGAACACCAGUGGCGAAGGCGGCCUGCUGGGCUUUAACUGACGCUGAGGCACGAAAGCGUGGGUAGCAAACAGGAUUAGAUACCCUGGUAGUCCACGCUGUAAACGAUGAUUACUAGGUGUGGGGGGUCUGACCCCUUCCGUGCCGGAGUUAACACAAUAAGUAAUCCACCUGGGGAGUACGG
rnacentral:rRNA from 1 species